AUUGAACGCUGGCGGCAGGCCUAACACAUGCAAGUCGAACGAUUGGCGGACGUGUGAGUAGUGUCUGGGAAACUGCCCGAUGGAGGGGGAUAACUACUGGAAAGGGGAGCUAAUACCGCAAACCAUCGGAGGUGCCCAGAUGGGUUUAGCUAGUAGGGGGGGUAAAGUCUAACCUAGGCGACGAACCCUAGCUGGUCCGAGAGGAUGUCCGGCCCAACUGGAACUGAGACCCGGUCCAGAGUCCUACGUGAGGCAGCAGUGGGGAAUAUUGCAAAAGGGGCGCAAGCCUGAUGCAGCCAUGCCGCGUGGAUGAAGAGGGCCUUCGGGUUGUAAAGUACUUUCAGCGUGGAGGCGUUACCCGCAGAAGAAGCACCGGCUAACUCCGUGCCAGCAGCCGCGGUAAUUC
rnacentral:rRNA from 1 species